GGGGAAGUGGCGGAAUAGGUAGACGCUUAAUGCACUAUAAAUAUCGGUUUAGGUGAAGGAUGUUCAAGAAUAGCCUACUCAAGUCGAGAAGUGUAGAGAUAUGUUAGACGUAUCAUCCUGGUUCGACUCCGGGCUUCUCCA
rnacentral:tRNA from 1 species